rnacentral:rRNA from 1 species
GAUGAACGCUGGCGGCGUGCCUAAUACAUGCAAGUCGAGCGAAUGGAUUAAGAGCUUGCUCUUAUGAAGUUAGCGGCGGACGGGUGAGUAACACGUGGGUAACCUGCCCAUAAGACUGGGAUAACUCCGGGAAACCGGGGCUAAUACCGGAUAACAUUUUGAACCGCAUGGUUCGAAAUUGAAAGGCGGCUUCGGCUGUCACUUAUGGAUGGACCCGCGUCGCAUUAGCUAGUUGGUGAGGUAACGGCUCACCAAGGCAACGAUGCGUAGCCGACCUGGGAGGGUGAUGGGCCACACUGGGACGGAGACACGGCCCAGACUCCUACGGGAGGCAGCAGUAGGGAAUCUUCCGCAAUGGACGAAAGUCUGACGGAGCAACGCCGCGUGAGUGAUGAAGGCUUUCGGGUCGUAAAACUCUGUUGUUAGGGAAGAACAAGUGCUAGUUGAAUAAGCUGGCACCUUGACGGUACCUAACCAGAAGGCCACGGCUAACUACGUGCCAGCAGCCGCCGUAA